GCUACCAUGACUUUGAUCCCCGUCUUCAUCUGGACACUGAUCCUCUGGACUCAAGAAUGCAGAGGUCAAGCCACAGUAACUCAGACUCCUGCAGUGAAAUCUGUUCUUCCAGGAGAAACAGUCACCAUCAACUGUAGAACCAGUCCAGCAGUUUAUCAUCACAGCUCAAAUGGUGACCUCUUACACUGGUAUCAGCAGAAACCUGGAGAAGCUCCUAAACUCCUGAUUAAAUAUGUAAAUAAGCUACAGUCAGGUUUUCCAGCUCGUUUCAGUGGCAGUGGAUCUGGAUCUGAUUUCACUCUGACCAUCAGUGGAGUCCAGACUGAAGAUGCAGGAGAUUACUACUGUCAGUGUUUACAUUACAUCAGUAGCACCUAUCUGUUCACACAGUGUUAUAGAGUCGUACAAAAACCUCCCUCAGUCAGAUUGUAGAGAGUCUGAACUGCUGCAGCUGGGAGCGACUGCAGGUGCUGAGUUGGAGGAUGUGAUACGACACAAUGACACUCUGUGGAGGAGAAGAACCACAUCACACUAACUCAAAACUCACAUUAGAGAUCACUUAAUAAUGAUAAAAAUUCUGUAUGAAUGCUGAGUAUUUAUUAUAUUAUAUCAAUUUAAUUUAAAACAGACAGAUUAAUAAUUAGACCUGAAGGUCUUCAUCAGUCUUUUCACACAAUAGAUUUUUUUUUUUUUUUUUUGUGAAAAAACUCUUGAUUUCAGGUCUGAUAUAUCUGUCUUAGACAAAACCGGACCAAAUGAAACCAAGAUCAAUCAGAUCAAAACCUUUUCCAUCUUUAUUGUGACAUUUCAAUAAAUGAAAGUGAAAAGCAGUAAGAAUAAUAUUAGAGAAAAUAAAAUCAGUUGGUCAUGAGUGUGCACAUCUCUAAUCUAAGACAUAAUUGUAACGCCUUUAGAUUUUAUCACUGCAUUCAAUCUUCUUAGGCAAGUGUCAAUGAAUUUAGUGCUUAAUCUUUAUUUUAGAGAUAUUUUGCUAAACCACAGACUUUCAUAUGGAUCUAGAUAAGGACUUUGAGAAAUUCCAAAUCCCAGAUCUUUUUGUAAAGCCAUACCCCAGUACAGACUCUAAUUCUGACCCUGUUAUUAAUCUCAGUCUCUGAUUUUGUAGAUUUCUACAGUCAUGGUGUUUACUGUUCUAAUUGAAAACAUCACAGAAUUCAAAAUAUCAAGUGUCUGAUUAUCAAACUCAUUUCUGUUCUCUCUGACCCCUGAAUAUUUAUUUCAUCCAAACAUACCGGCUUACAAAGUCUGUUUUUUAUUACAUUUUGUUUGGUUGCACCGUUUCGUGAAUGUUUUGGUCUUGCAGAAAAAUAUCAUCUGCCGGAAAUCCCACAAAAUUUCCCCAACAAUCCUACUUUAAUGGUCAGGUUUCAUGUUGUCCUGAUAUUUUCUUACUAAUAAGUGCUAAUUUUCCUAUGUACCUAUGUGUCUUUAUGUAGCACCAGAAUCAUUGAGGAACACUGUUUCAGCCAUAUAUGCUUGAAAUGACAAUAAAUUACUCUACAAUAAGAAGUGGUUAUGUGGAAAGAUUUUGAGCCACGUGUUAUUAUGACGUUGAUUUAAUGAAGUAGAAAGAAUAUAGUACUUUAUCUUUAUUCAAAAGGCUUCAAUUAACGGAUAGCCACUUAACUACAGAUUCUGAAAACAUCUGUACAAAAUAAAAACAUUUACUUGUUACGCGUACGUAACGUCAAUUCAUGUGAAAUGAGUUGCAGAUACACUGCCAUUGGCAUAAUAUCAUUACAUUUUAUUAAAAAAAUGGAUCCCUGUGCCAAAUAACCAACCUUGUAAUUCUAAUUUAGAUUUUGCUUCUAGUGAAAAUGAGAAUAUCAACAUACAUUAGCCCGAUGUACAGAAUGGUUCAGAUGUUGAUUGUUCAGACUAUUGGAUUGUUGCGUGAAAUAGCAACUUAGCACUUUUAGCCAUAAAUACUCGAACAGCAAAGGCCCUGAAUGCUGAAGGUAUCAUUGAAAAAAAUUUGCCUUCAACCAUAACAACCACCACAUUGUCCUGAUUUGAUACUUUAAAUAGUAAGUGGUGUUAUUUGAUAACUACCCGGUGCUAUAGGUGUUUUUAUGUACAGUAUAUAUACAAAAUCGUUGGAAAAUUGUUUAAUUUUGUAAUUUGAGUGAUUCUUUAAUUUCAUAAAAAUAAAAAAAUAGAUUUGCACUGUCCUGGGGUGUUUAAGACUCAAAAUAGUAACUGGUAAUUAUUAUUAAGUAGUAUUUGGUAAAUAUAACCCCAGUGCUAUAGGCGUUUGUUGAA